rnacentral:misc_RNA from 1 species
CCGCCGUGCCCAGCGCAGCGCUCCGGCAGCGGAGGGGCAACGACGCCGGCGCCGAUCACCGCACGACCCUCACGAGGACGCCGCAGCCGAACGCAGCCGCUACGAUGCGCUUUACAUGGGCGGCGGUAACUGCGAGGAGGUGCAGUACGUAAAGUCGUGGGAGCAGCUGCAGGCCUCGGUGUUCAGUCGGCUGCGGUACAUGAGUCAGCUGAGCAAGGGCACUGCCUCCCCCUCAUCGCCGCACGCACGGCCUGCCGGCACGUCG